AUUGAACGCUGGCGGCAGGCCUAACACAUGCAAGUCGAGCGGAUGAAGGGAGCUUGCUCCUGGAUUCAGCGUCGGACGGGUGAGUAAUGCCUAGGAAUCUGCUUGCCAGUGGGUGAUAACGUCCGGAAACGGGCGCUAAUACCGCCUACUUCCUGAUGCAGAAGGAUGGUGAGCUUCGGACCUCACGCUAUCAUAUGAGCCUAGUUCGGAUUAGCUAGUUGGUGGGGUGAAGGCCUACCAAGGCGACGAUCCGUAACUGGUCGGAGAGGAUGAUCAGUCACACUGGAACUGAGCCACGGUCAAGACUCCUAAGGGAGGGAGCAGUGGGGAAUAUUAGACAACAGUCGAAAACCUGAUACAGUGAUGCCAAGUGUGAGAAGAAAGUCUUCGGAUUGUAAAGCACUUUAAGUUGGGAGAAAGGGCAGUAAGUUAAUACCUAGCUGUAUUGACGUUAACAACAGAAUAAGCACCGGCUAACUACGUG
rnacentral:rRNA from 1 species